GGGCCGCAGCAGGCGCGAAAACUUUACAAUGCAGGAAACUGUGAUAAGGGAACCCCGAGUGCCCGUAUACGCGGGCUGUCCAGGUGUUUAAAAAGCAUCUGAAGAAAGGGCCGGGCAAGACCGGUGCCAGCCGCCGCGGUAAUACCGGCGGCUCGAGUGGUGGCCACUAUUAUUGGGCUUAAAGCGUCCGUAGCUGGACUNAUAAGUCUCUUGGGAAAUCCGCCGGCUUAACCGGCGGGCGUCUAAGAGAUACUGUNAGUCUAGGGACCGGGAGAGGUGAGAGGUACUCCGGGGGUAGGAGUGAAAUCCUGUAAUCCCUGGGGGACCACCGAUGGCGAAGGCAUCUCACCAGAACGGCNCCGACAGUGAGGGACGAAAGCUGGGGGAGCGAACCGGAUUAGAUACCCGGGUAGUCCCAGCCGUAAACUAUGCGCGUUAGGUGUACCGGUGACCACGAGUCAC
rnacentral:rRNA from 1 species